rnacentral:rRNA from 2 species
GGUGCAUUAGCUAGUUGGUAAGGUAACGGCUUACCAAGGCGAUGAUGCAUAGCCGAGUUGAGAGACUGAUCGGCCACAAUGGAACUGAGACACGGUCCAUACUCCUACGGGAGGCAGCAGUAGGGAAUCUUCCACAAUGGGCGCAAGCCUGAUGGAGCAACACCGCGUGAGUGAAGAAGGGUUUCGGCUCGUAAAGCUCUGUUGUUGAAGAAGAACGUGCGUGAGAGUAACUGUUCACGCAGUGACGGUAUUCAACCAGAAAGUCACGGCUAACUACGUGCCAGCAGCCGCGGUAAUACGUAGGUGGCAAGCGUUAUCCGGAUUUAUUGGGCGUAAAGCGAGCGCAGGCGGUUGCUUAGGUCUGAUGUGAAAGCCUUCGGCUUAACCGAAGAAGUGCAUCGGAAACCGGACGACUUGAGUGCAGAAGAGGACAGUGGAACUCCAUGUGUAGCGGUGGAAUGCGUAGAUAUAUGGAAGAACACCAGUGGCGAAGGCGGCUGUCUGGUCUGCAACUGACGCUGAGGCUCGAAAGCAUGGGUAGCGAACAGGAUUAGAUACCCUGGUAGUCCAUGCCGUAAACGAUGAGUGCUAGGUGUUGGAGGGUUUCCGCCCUUCAGUGCCGGAGCUAACGCAUUAAGCACUCCGCCUGGGGAGUACGACCGCAAGGUUGAAACUCAAAGGAAUUGACGGGGGCCCGCACAAGCGGUGGAGCAUGUGGUUUAAUUCGAAGCUACGCGAAGAACCUUACCAGGUCUUGACAUCUUGCGCUAACCUCAGAGAUGAGGCGUUCCCUUCGGGGACGCAAUGACAGGUGGUGCAUGGUCGUCGUCAGCUCGUGUCGUGAGAUGUUGGGUUAAGUCCCGCAACGAGCGCAACCCUUGUUACUAGUUGCCAGCAUUCAGUUGGGCACUCUAGUGAGACUGCCGGUGACAAACCG